rnacentral:rRNA from 1 species
UAACUGAAGAGUUUGAUCAUGGCUCAGAUUGAACGCUGGCGGCAGGCUUAACACAUGCAAGUCGAGCGGGGGAAGGUAGCUUGCUACCGGACCUAGCGGCGGA